rnacentral:rRNA from 1 species
AUGGAGGCGGCGGAGAGCCGGCUAGGCCCGGCAUGGAACUGCUCCACCACUCGCUUCCGGUGCUGCAGCUGCUGCACCGCGUGGGACGGCACGAGCGCCUUGCGCGCCCAGUGCCCGCUCCCCAUGGGAACGCGCUGCGCCAGCCCGCUGUAUGAGCGUCUAGAGCAGCCGCUGCCGCUGGGGACAAGCUGCGCGAACGGGCUCGCCGUGCGCUUCGACGGCGGCGAAGGCGGUGAGUCGGGCUUGCGGCCGGCGGCGGGGGCCUCUUGCUUGCGCUCCUUAUGGAGGCUGCAGCGGAACGAGCCCGGAUGGUUCGUCGGGGAGCACAUGCAGGACCGACGGAUCUUGGCAGUGGGGGAGGAGGGGGGAGAUGAGACGCUGACGGACUUGACCGACGAGCCGCCGACGGAGAGCUUGACACGGGAGAGCGAGGCAGAUUGGUAG